UGACCUCACACUUGGUCUCUUGCCAGCAGGGAUGAGGGACGGCAGAGCCCUGGCAGGCUCUGGGCUCAUAAGAUUGCAGGGGGUGUGUUUAACCUACUUGCAAGAAAGAACUCUUCCCAUCCCCUAAGAGGCUGUGUUUCCAUGCAAACAAUGCUGUCCAAAUGAAAAGGCGCUCUCAUCUCUUCAUUAAAGCUCGGCCUCAAAGGACCCAUUGCUACCUGAAUCUUCACUCCUAGCCCGCAACGAGGUGCCGCGUGUAUAAAUGAAGACGUUUGAAUUACAAAAUGCCUUUUAAAUAGAGUGCAUUAUACAAGUUUGGUCCUGAAGAGUCUCCUCAUUCGAUUGCUGGAUUUUGGCAAGGGAUGUGAGGCCACAAGCCAUUUUCUUCCCUCCAUCUGUUCCUUCUAUCCUCCUUUUUGGGCCUGAGCCAGAUCUGAGCUUGCAGCUAGACUGGGCUUGAUCCUUAUGUGAAAGGAAGCCUAGAGAAGGCAGUAUGUGAAGGGAGGGAUGGGCUGCAUCCUGGUGGUCAGGAGAUCAGCAUCCUGGUGGUCAGGAGAUCAGCAUCCUGGUGGUCAGGAGAUCACCAUGGCAGCAAGGUGGGGUAGAGGGAGACAAAGACAGAGACAGAGCGACAGAGAGAGAGAUGGAGAGAGUGUGUGAGGGCACGUGCCACAGCACGUGUGCAGAGGCCAAAGAAGAGCUCCCAGGAGUCAGUUCUCUCCUUCCACCACACUGAAGCACCAACUGCUGUCUCUGCCACUGUGAAGCAGACUCCAGGCUAGCUGACCCACAAGCUCCUGGGUGAUUCUCCCGUCCCCGCCUCCCAUCUCCCCAUAGGAGUGCUGGGAUUAUAGACGACUCUGCCGUAUCCAGUUCUUCACGUGGGGUUGGAAACCAAACUCAGCAAGUCCUUUUACCCAGUACACCCUCUCCCCAGCCCAGCAGUGGAAGCUUUAAGAGGUGGGGCCUGGUGGGUGGUCUGUGAGCUGUUUAUGGGGAGUGGGACCUGCUUCCUCCCCAUCUGUCUCCUCUGGGCUAUUUUCUUCUCCUUGCCAUCGGCCCCAAAGUGUCAGGGUCAAACCCUGUGAACUGAAAUCUCUGAAAAACACCGAGCCAAAAUAAACUAUGCCUUUGUGUAUGG